UUGGGGGAAGCUUAAUAAAAUAGCAAGUGCGAGUAAGCUGACAGUUUUAUAUCUAUCGUACCAAAUGAGUAGUGGUCUUUACUUCUGAUUCGAACAAAAUAUGAUUUCGCAAAAAUGUUUUAUUAUUUUGACAGUUUUGUGUUUUAGCGAACUUGCAGGCGCUAUUCCGAUAGAAUGUCCGCAUAUAAGACAUAGUAAUAUAAGUGGAAGUAGAUUUAGAUCUUGCCUAAAUCGUAUACGUGGAAUUAUGGGCAUGUUAUGUGCAAAUAGAAGUCAAGGUGGCCGUGUACGUCGCAUAUCAAGCGCCGAGUUCCAGCAACAACUCUACUGCGAGUGUUGCACCCAGAGCUGUUCCGUGAGAAAGCUCCUGUCCAUGUGCUAACGCUGGAAGUAUACGACGGAAGUUCUUGACACAGGCGCAGACGACAAAUCAAGCCAAGAAUACAAUCCGUCAAGGCGAACUUCAACUUUGUCCUACCAGUGAAAAUUUCUGGAUGGAAUAAACUUUUGUCUCAGAUCACUAUAUUGUCACGUGUUGUGCGUAGUUAGAUAGUUUCUCUCAUACUUUAUUGAUUCUGAAUAUCAUAAAUCGAGUCUCGGCUUUUGUUAAAUUUCAAAAUCACUUUUCUAUAAUUAUUUGGAAUUUUUAGCCUAAGGUCAAAUUAGAUUCUGAAAAUGAAAAUUACCAUCUUACAGGCAAUAUUCUAGAGCGGAAGAAGGCAGAACUGCAUUUCACCAGAAUUUAACAGGAGAUUCUAUGUUCAAAGAUCGCUGAGAGCUAACUAAAAUAUCUAGCAAAUGAUGUUGAAUUAUAACACCAUUUCAUAAUUACGACAUACCGCAAUGUUUUGCCUUUAAGAACAUGAGAAAACAAGAUUUAAGUAAACAUACCCGGGGGCAAUGUCUUUAGAAGUCUGAUAUAUGCAAGAUUCCUUUUUGCAUUAACAAUGAUACAGUUCACCCCUAAAACGUGCAAAAAAAUCUUGCCUACUUAGCGGGUACAAACAAACAUAUCCCGAUUGUAGAUCACCUUAAAGUUUUCUUUCCCUUUGGGAAAAGAUGUUUUUCACGUGCGCUUUAAGAUGCUAUGUUGUAAGUUCUUUUACCAAACUAUAUACAAUUUUUACAAGUAGCUGAAAAUAUUAUUGCAGUUAAAUAAUGGUAGGCAAGAAAAAUGUUUGUACACGUGUGCCUGUGUAAGACAGAUGUUUCCCAACCCUCGGGACAUCGUGGGUAAGAAACCUCGCUAACAUCUCAUUUCUAUUUCACGCUUGCCCCUCGGGUUGGGAAAACUAAACAGGUAAGCACGUACAAAAACCCAUAUAAUCUGUAGGUAAAGGUGGGAACUUUUAUAGGGCGUAGUUAUAUCUUUAAACUAUGAUUUGAAUGGUCCUGUGUCAACGUCUUUAAGUGCUACAUUGCUUCGAGUCUGUGAUAAAAUAAGUGAUUUAUUAUAAGGUAACCCCGGCGUCAUUUAGUGCUUUCGUGACAGUGUCUUGUACAACUACAGUCUGGACUUGCACUUGUAGAAUAUUUAUUUGUUAACACACUAGACAAUAUUAUUUUGAAUAAAAAGAAAUCCAAUAUAUGUA